rnacentral:ncRNA from 2 species
ACAUGUAUGCUCGUCCUCGCUGUCGCCGCAGGGGAAUCCGGUGGGAAUCCGGAACUGUCCCGCAACGGUGUAGGAGCGCGCUCGGCCGGGCGGAUACCGGCCCUGGGCGCGUGCCCGUGUAGUCCGAGGACCUGCCGACGGUACGUCCGCACC